UACCAGCACCCCGAGUGGUCGGGACGAUUAUUGGGCCUAAAGCAUCCGUAGCCGGUUCUGCAAGUCCCCCGUUAAAUCCAGCUGCUCAACAGAUGGGCCGCGGAGGAUACUACAGAGCUAGGAGGCAGGAGAGGCAAGCGGUACUCAGUGGGUAGGGGUAAAAUCCGUUGAUCCAUUGAAGACCACCAGUGGCGAAGGCGGCUUGCCAGAAUGCGCUCGACGGUGAGGGAUGAAAGCUGGGGGA
rnacentral:rRNA from 1 species